CAACCCUCAAGCUCUGCUUGGUAUUAGGCCUCACCUAUUUGGCGGGCCGUAAAAUUAGUGGCGGUGCCAUUCGGCUUCAAGCGUAGUAAUACUUCUCGCUAUGGAUGACUGAGUGAGUGCUUGCCAGCAACCCCAAUUUUAAA
rnacentral:misc_RNA from 1 species